UACGGAGGAUGCGAGCGUUAUCCGGAUUUAUUGGGUUUAAAGGGUGCGUAGGCGGACUGUCAAGUCAGCGGUAAAAUACGGGGGCUCAACCUCCGCCCGCCGUUGAAACUGACGGUCUUGAGUGGGCGAGAAGUAUGCGGAAUGCGUGGUGUAGCGGUGAAAUGCAUAGAUAUCACGCAGAACUCCGAUUGCGAAGGCAGCAUACCGGCGCCCAACUGACGCUGAGGCACGAAAGCGUGGGUAUCGAACAGG
rnacentral:rRNA from 1 species